GAACGCUAGCUACAGGCUUAACACAUGCAAGUCGAGGGGCAUCAGGAAGAAAGCUUGCUUUCUUUGCUGGCGACCGGCGCACGGGUGAGUAACACGUAUCCAACCUGCCCUUUACUCGGGGAUAGCCUUUCGAAAGAAAGAUUAAUACCCGAUAGCAUAAUGAUUCCGCAUGGUUUCAUUAUUAAAGGAUUCCGGUAAAGGGUGGGGAUGCGUUCCAUUAGGUUGUUGGUGAGGUAACGGCCCACCAAGCCUUCGAUGGAUAGGGGUUCUGAGAGGAAGGUCCCCCACAUUGGAACUGAGACACGGUCCAAACUCCUACGGGAGGCAGCAGUGAGGAAUAUUGGUCAAUGGGCGCUAGCCUGAACCAGCCAAGUAGCGUGAAGGAUGAAGGCUCUAUGGGUCGUAAACUUCUUUUAUAUAAGAAUAAAGUGCAGUAUGUAUACUGUUUUGUAUGUAUUAUAUGAAUAAGGAUCGGCUAACUCCGUGCCAGCAGCCGCGGUAAUACGGAGGAUCCGAGCGUUAUCCGGAUUUAUUGGGUUUAAAGGGAGCGUAGGUGGACUGGUAAGUCAGUUGUGAAAGUUUGCGGCUCAACCGUAAAAUUGCAGUUGAUACUGUCAGUCUUGAGUACAGUAGAGGUGGGCGGAAUUCGUGGUGUAGCGGUGAAAUGCUUAGAUAUCACGAAGAACUCCGAUUGCGAAGGCAGCUCACUGGACUGCAACUGACACUGAUGCUCGAAAGUGUGGGUAUCAAACAGGAUUAGAUACCCUGGUAGUCCACACAGUAAACGAUGAAUACUCGCUGUUUGCGAUAUACAGUAAGCGGCCAAGCGAAAGCAUUAAGUAUUCCACCUGGGGAGUACGCCGGCAACGGUGAAACUCAAAGGAAUUGACGGGGGCCCGCACAAGCGGAGGAACAUGUGGUUUAAUUCGAUGAUACGCGAGGAACCUUACCCGGGCUUAAAUUGCAGUGGAAUGAUGUGGAAACAUGUCAGUGAGCAAUCACCGCUGUGAAGGUGCUGCAUGGUUGUCGUCAGCUCGUGCCGUGAGGUGUCGGCUUAAGUGCCAUAACGAGCGCAACCCUUAUCUUUAGUUACUAACAGGUUAUGCUGAGGACUCUAGAGAGACUGCCGUCGUAAGAUGUGAGGAAGGUGGGGAUGACGUCAAAUCAGCACGGCCCUUACGUCCGGGGCUACACACGUGUUACAAUGGGGGGUACAGAAGGCAGCUAGCGGGUGACCGUAUGCUAAUCCCAAAAUCCUCUCUCAGUUCGGAUCGAAGUCUGCAACCCGACUUCGUGAAGCUGGAUUCGCUAGUAAUCGCGCAUCAGCCACGGCGCGGUGAAUACGUUCCCGGGCCUUGUACACACCGCCCGUCAAGCCAUGGGAGCCGGGGGUACCUGAAGUACGUAACCGCAAGGAUCGUCCUAGGGUAAAACUGGUGACUGGGGC
rnacentral:rRNA from 1 species